CCUACGGGAGGCAGCAGUAGGGAAUUUUCGUCAAUGGGCGCAAGCCUGAACGAGCAAUGCCGCGUGAACGAGGAAGGUCUUCGGAUCGUACAGUUCUGUUGAAGGGGUAAAAGAGCGGAGAGAGGAAAUGCUUUCUGAUUGAUAUUACCCUUCGUGGAAGUCACCGCUAACUACGGGCCAGCAGCCGCGGUAAUACGUAGUUGGCGAGCGUUAGCCGGAAUGAUUGGGCGUAAAGGGUGCGUAGGCGGCCUGCUAAGUCUGGAGGGAAAGGUAGCGGAUCAACCGGUACAGGCUCUGGAAACUUGCGGGCUAGAGAGCAGGAGAGGGCGGUGGAACUCCAUGUGUAGCGGUAAAAUGCGUAGAUAUAUGGAAGAACACCAGUGGCGAAGGCGGUCGCCUGGCCUGUUAACUGACGCUGAGGCACGAAAGCGUGGGGAGCAAAUAGGAUUAGAUACCCCAGUAGUC
rnacentral:rRNA from 1 species